rnacentral:lncRNA from 1 species
AAAUAAAAUUUAUUAUUUCCUUUAAAUUAAAUUUUUAUUUUGUCAUAAUAUUUAAAGUAAUUUUCAAACAAAUCACUGACUAAAUGAAUUUUGACGCGAAAGGAAAUGUAUUUAUUUACUAUGUGAUACAUUUUAAAUAAACGUUAACUUUAAAGUAUUUGAAAAACGAUAGUGGCGCUAUUUAACCUCUAACAGUAGACAAUAUAUUUACUUUAGUGAAUUAACGCAGAGUAGUUAGUUUAUUUAAAUAGUUAUUUAUUCAGCUGCUAAACAAUCAUUCAUAAUAUCAACAGUUUUAAAGACUGCCGAUUUUAUUGUUAAAAUCAUUCUUGAACAUGCGAUGAAAAAGUUGUUCGUAAAUCACAUAAAAGAUAAUCAUAUGAAUUUUAUUUAAAUGAUACAUGUAAAGUUUUAACAUUUUGCACUAAAUACCAUGUUUUCUAUAAGUUAACCAUGUUUUCGAUGAUGUUAGCUUCCUACAAGAGAAUGGAAAUUGGCAGUUUUUCCGCCUAAGCUUCCUACAAGAGAAUGGAAAUUGGCAGUUUUUCCGCCUAAG